rnacentral:rRNA from 1 species
GACGAACGCUGGCGGCGUGCUUAACACAUGCAAGUCGAACGGAAAGGCCCUGCUUUUGUGGGGUGCUCGAGUGGCGAACGGGUGAGUAACACGUGAGUAACCUGCCCUUGACUUUGGGAUAACUUCAGGAAACUGGGGCUAAUACCGGAUAGGAGCUCCUGCUGCAUGGUGGGGGUUGGAAAGUUUCGGCGGUUGGGGAUGGACUCGCGGCUUAUCAGCUUGUUGGUGGGGUAGUGGCUUACCAAGGCUUUGACGGGUAGCCGGCCUGAGAGGGUGACCGGCAACAUUGGGACUGAGAUACGGCCCAGACUCCGACGGGAGGCAGCAGUGGGGAAUAUUGAACAAUGGGCGGAAGCCUGAUGCAGCAACGCCGCGUGCGGGAUGACGGCCUUCGGGUUGUAAACCGCUUUCGCCUGUGACGAAGCGUGAGUGAAGGUAAUGGGUAAAGAAGCACCGGCUAACUACGUG